rnacentral:rRNA from 10 species
GACUCUUAACGGUGGAUCACUCGGCUCGCGAGUCGAUGAAGGACGCAGCCAAGUGCGAGAAGUAAUGUGAAUUGCAGAACACAUUGAACGUCGACCUUCUGAACGCGAAUUGCGGUCUCGGGUCAAUCCCGGGACCGCGUCUGCCUCAGGGUCG